rnacentral:rRNA from 1 species
CGAUAACGAACGAGACCUUAACCUGCUAAAUAGCCCGUACUGCUUUGGCAGUUCGCUGGCUUCUUAGAGGGACUAUCGGCUCAAGCCGAUGGAAGUUUGAGGCAAUAACAGGUCUGUGAUGCCCUUAGAUGUCCUGGGCCGCACGCGCGUUACACUGACAGGGCCAGCGAGUACCUCCUUGGCCGAAAGGCCCGGGUAAUCUUGUUAAACCCUGUCGUGCUGGGGAUAGAGCAUUGCAAUUAUUGCUCUUCAACGAGGAAUCCCUAGUAAGCGCAAGUCAUCAGCUUGCGUUGAUUACGUCCCUGCCCUUUGUACACACCGCCCGUCGCUACUACCGAUUGAAUGGCU